rnacentral:rRNA from 1 species
UACGAAGGGGGCGAGCGUUGUUCGGAUUUACUGGGCGUAAAGGGCGCGCAGGCGGCUCAUUUUGUCAGGCGUGAAAGCCCCGGGCUUAACCUGGGAACUGCGUUUGAUACUGGACGUCUCGAGUUCGGGAGAGGUGAGUGGAAUUCCAGGUGUAGCGGUGAAAUGCGUAGAUAUCUGGAGGAACACCGGUGGCGAAGGCGGCAUCCUGGACCGGUAUUGACGCUGAGGCGCGAAAGCUAGGGGAGCAAACGGGGAUUAAGAA